rnacentral:rRNA from 1 species
UACGUAGGUGACACGCGUUGUCCGGAAUUAUUGGGCGUAAAGCGCGCGCAGGCGGUUAUGUAAGUCUGAUGUUAAAGCCCGGGGCUCAACCUCGGUUCGCAUUGGAAACUGCGUAACUUGAGUGCAGAAGAGGAAAGUGGUAUUCCACGUGUAGCGGUGAAAUGCGUAGAUAUGUGGAGGAACACCAGUGGCGAAGGCGACUUUCUGGUCUGUAACUGACGCUGAGGCGCGAAAGCGUGGGGAGCAAACAGG